rnacentral:rRNA from 1 species
UACGAGAGGCCCAAACGUUAUUCGGAUUUACUGGGCUUAAAGAGUUCGUAGGCGGUUUGGUAAGUGGGGUGUGAAAGCCCUCGGCUCAACCGAGGAAUUGCGCUCCAAACUGCCAGACUCGAGGGAGAUAGAGGUGAGCGGAACUGAUGGUGGAGCGGUGAAAUGCGUUGAUAUCAUCAGGAACACCAGAGGCGAAGGCGGCUCACUGGGUCUUUUCUGACGCUGAGGAACGAAAGCUAGGGGAGCAAACGGG